UUAAUUAAAAAUAAUAAUAAUAAAGUAAGGUCUCAUGAGCGUUAAUAAAUGAAUUUAUUUACUAAAUUUUUUAUGAAUUUUCUAAGAUUUUAAAUGAACUUGUACGACAUAUUUUAAAGGGAUAGAACUAAUAACCAUGAGGGAGGUCAAGGUUAAUGCCCAAUUAAAUUAGGAGUUGAUUAACUUUAAUUACCCUAAGUCAAUACUAAACAACCUAGGUAUAAAACCUAGUGUUCACCGAUUCUCCUCAUAGCCUCCUGAAAUCGCCGCCGCGUUACUAUCUCUCCACCUCUGCUACUCCGAUGAAGCUUCCACCCUGCGUAUUGAGCUUCGGUCACGUGCCACAGAUCACAACCAACUUCCGCAGAGGGUGACACGAUCGGACGGGGAUAGCAGUCAGUGCUGUAGCAUUUCGUAAGGGUUCCAUAGGAGGCACGAGGAAGGGAAAGGCAAGUUCAUAUCCCCGUGAUAAUGUGAGAUCCGUGAGGUAAGGGAGAGGAAUCUAGGAGAUGUUGAAAUGCUUACCUACGAGGUUCGAUUGAUUGAAUGGUUUGCGAAUUAAUGUUUAUGUGACGAUCUUGCUUCGCCUUGUGGUUUUUCUUUGGUUUUCUGCAUAGGAUUUGGGGGUCGAUGAUUGGAUUCGGUGUUUGGAAGGAGGUGAUGUACUUGUCUUCUUUUCAAUGUAGGGUAUGUGUCGCAAUUCAUUUUCCCUUAAGGUUCCUCGCAGUGUUCUUUUGGAUCGCAAUUGCAACAUCGUAGGAUUUGGAGUAAGGUUACGUGACCAGUUCAUUAAGAUGUGGAUUCUGAUUUACAAGUCGGGUUCUUCUCCUUGAUAGCUUGAGAUGAUUUGCUUGCUUCUAUUACUUCCGAAUGUUUCAACUAGAUGUUGGUGGUCUAAACCUUGGUGAAUCACAUUUUUGUUCCUUCUGUUGCUUUUGAAAUGCUGGUUAGAUUGGAAUAUGUGGACCCAAUUUGAUGUUGUUUUGAAGAUGUUAUUGGUUCCUUGUUGUUAA